rnacentral:tRNA from 1 species
GUGUGGCCUUGUGGUUAGGACGUUGGGCUAAUGACCCAUUGGUCGUAGGUUCGAGCCC